GAUGAACGCUGGCGGCGUGCUUAACACAUGCAAGUCGAACGGGAAUUACUUUAUUGAAGCUUCGGUCGAUUUAAUUUAAUUCUAGUGGCGGACGGGUGAGUAACGCGUGGGUAACCUGCCUUAUACAGGGGGAUAACAGUCAGAAAUGGCUGCUAAUACCGCAUAAGCGCACAGAGCUGCAUGGCUCAGUGUGAAAAACUCCGGUGGUAUAAGAUGGACCCGCGUUGGAUUAGCUAGUUGGUGGGGUAACGGCCCACCAAGGCGACGAUCCAUAGCCGGCCUGAGAGGGUGAACGGCCACAUUGGGACUGAGACACGGCCCAGACUCCUACGGGAGGCAGCAGUGGGGAAUAUUGCACAAUGGGGGAAACCCUGAUGCAGCGACGCCGCGUGAAGGAAGAAGUAUCUCGGUAUGUAAACUUCUAUCAGCAGGGAAGAUAGUGACGGUACCU
rnacentral:rRNA from 1 species